rnacentral:lncRNA from 1 species
GGACUAUGUUUCUCUGAGCACCAUUCUGUCAUGGAAGGAAGAGAUGAAGAGCAAAGGCCAAAAUGAUGAAGAAAAUGCUCAGGAAGCACCACAGGUGAAGAAAAGCUUGAGUGAAAAGGUUUCUCUCUACAGAGGUGACAUCACCCUGCUAGAGGUGGAUGCAAUCGUCAAUGCGGCUCCCGGCUGCGAUGAUUGUAAUUUGGCUGUGUUCGCAAGGGCUGGCUCAUCAGGUAGCUCCUGGGUGGAUGGGAAGGAAAUACCAAAUAUACAGGUA